CGGCGGACGGGUGAGUAACACGUGGAUAACCUACCUAUAAGACUGGGAUAACUUCGGGAAACCGGAGCUAAUACCGGAUAAUAUAUUGAACCGCAUGGUUAAAUAGCGAAAGACGGUUUUGCUGUCACUUAUAGAUGGAUCCGCGCCGCAUUAGCUAGUUGGUAAGGUAACGGCUUACCAAGGCAACGAUGCGUAGCCGACCUGAGAGGGUGAUCGGCCACACUGGAACUGAGACACGGUCCAG
rnacentral:rRNA from 1 species